UACGUAGGGUGCAAGCGUUGUCCGGAAUCAUUGGGCGUAAAGAGCUCGUAGGCGGUCCGUCACGUCCGCUGUGAAAACCCAGGGCUCAACCCUGGGCUUGCAGUGGAUACGGGCAGACUAGAGGUAGGUAGGGGAGAAUGGAAUUCCCGGUGUAGCGGUGAAAUGCGCAGAUAUCGGGAGGAACACCGGUGGCGAAGGCGGUUCUCUGGGCCUUACCUGACGCUGAGGAGCGAAAGCGUGGGGAGCGAACAGG
rnacentral:rRNA from 1 species